UCAUAUGCUGUCUCAAAGAUUAAGCCAUGCAGGUGCAAGUACGAUCGAUAUACAGAGAAACUGCGAACGGCUCAUUAGAUCAGUUAUAAUUUAAUGAAUCGUACUUCAUCUCAUGGAUAACUGUGGCAAUUCUAGAGCUAAUACAUGCAACAAGCUCGCACAUUAUGUGCGAGCGCUCUUAUUAGUUGAACCAACGGAGCCCUCGGGCACCGAAGAUGGUGACUCUGGAUAAUGCCGCCGAUCGCAAGGUCUAUGACCAGCGACGGGUUCAGAAAGUGUCUGCCUUAUCAGCUGGUAGGUCGUCGAUAUGACUACCUAGGCUCCCACGGGUAACGGGAAAUCAUGGGUUUGAUUCCGGAGAGGGAGCAUGAGACACGGCUGCCACUUCCAAGGAAGGCAGCAGGCGCGCAACUUACCCACUCCCGACACGGGGAGGUAGUGACGAAAUAUACCAAUCCGGGACUCAAGUGAGGCUUCGGUAUUGGAAUGAGUACACUUUAAAUCCUAUACAUAGGAUCAAUUGGAGGGCAAGUCUGGUGCCAGCAGCCGCGGUAAUUCCAGCUCCGAGGGCAUAUAAUAAAGUUGCCGUAGUUAAAAGGUUCGUAGCUUGAUCUCAAGGCUGUGAGCGGGGUGUACUUGAUUGUGCCUCUGCGAGCGGUCUCACCAAGCCGAAUCUUGUGUCGGCCUUAAUCGGUCGGUCACAGAGAGUUGGUAGAGUUUACUGUGAGAAAACUAGAGUGUUCACAGGGUCCCUGCGCGGAUAUAUAUGAGUGCAUGGGAUAAUAGUCUGAGGCCGCGGUCCGUACUUUGGCUUCAAUGGACCUGCGGCAAAGGCAAAAAGAAGCGGCUGGGGGCAAUCGUAUUACAACGCGAGAGGUGAAAUUCAAAGACCGUUGUACGACGAACUGUAGCGAAGGCGUUUGCCAAGAACGUUUUCAUUAGUCAGGAACGAAAGUUAGAGGCUCGAAGACGAUUAGGUACCGUCGUAGUUCUAACCGUAAACGAUGCCGAUCGACCAUGCGUCGAGUAUCGAAUGCCCACGACUCGACGUGUAGCCACUCCGGGAAACCAAAAUGUUUUGGCUCUAGGGGAAGUAUGGUUGCAAAAUUGAAACUUAAAGGAAUUGACGGAAGGGAACCACCAGGAGUGGAGCCUGUGGCUUAAUUUGACUCAACACGGGGCAACUCACCCGGUCAGAACAUAAGCGAGGAUUGACAGAUUGAUAGCUCUUUCUCGAUGCAGUGGAUGGUGGUGCAUGGCCGUUGAAAGUUCGUGGAUCGAUUUGUCUGGUCUAUUCCGGUAACGAACAAGACUCUUGCCUGAUAAUUAGUCGAGCAGACACGUGAAUGUGGUCGUUCGCUUUGACACAUAAGACUUCUUAGAGGCACAAGUGACGAGUAGUCACACGAGAGAGGGAGCUAUAACAGGUCUGUGAUGCCCUUCGAUGUUCGGGGCCGCACGCGGGCUACAAUGCUCGUAUCAACGUGUACAACCUGAGCCGAGAUGCUUGGGCAAGCCGAUGAAAUGCGAACUAAGUUGGGACUGGGGGCUGUAACUGUCCCUCACGAACGUGGAAUCCCAUGUAAGCGGGAGUCAACAACUGCCGUUGAUAACGUCCCUGCCCUUUGUACACACCGCCCGUCGCUACUGCCGAUGAGCGUGCAGGUGAGACCUUCGGACGUGACUGUCUUGAGCGGAGCCUUUGUGCUCUGCCAGCUCUCACCGAGGAUAGUCGAACUUGUGCGUUUAGAGGGAGUAAAAGUCGUAACAAGGUUUUC
rnacentral:rRNA from 1 species